UUCCUUAUCUGUAUCUAAUACGUUGGUUUAUCUGGAACCUGUCUUCCUGCGCUCUGGUGCAGGAUCUUCAUGUCAGACAAAGCACACGAAGACAGGCCCGUCAGUUUAGUUGCCGCAGUUC
rnacentral:sRNA from 1 species